rnacentral:rRNA from 1 species
AACUGAACUGUACGCGUCCCCCCCGUUUGCGGGCGGCGGAAGCGUCUUUCUAAAACACAAACGACUCUCGGCAACGGAUAUCUCGGCUCUCGCAUCGAUGAAGAACGUAGCGAAAUGCGAUACUUGGUGUGAAUUGCAGAAUCCCGUGAACCAUCGAGUCUUUGAACGCAAGUUGCGCCCGAAGCCAUUAGGCCGAGGGCACGUCUGCCUGGGCGUCACG